rnacentral:lncRNA from 1 species
CAGGAUAUGCAUCAGAAGGAUCACGAGGUGCACUUUCGUUUGGUCUUGGUCGUCCAUAUGGUGGAUUGUUGGUAGGCCUUCCAUAUGGAUCAUUAGCAGGUCUUCCAUAUGGUGGAUCGUUGGCAGGCCUUCCAUAUGGUGGAUCGUUGGCAGGUCUUCCAUAUGGUGGAUCAUUGGUAGGUCUUCCAAAUGGUGGAACAACGGCAGGCCUUCCAUAUGGUCGAUCGUUGGUAUGACUUCCAAAUGGUGGAUCAAUGGCAGGCCUUCCAUACAGUGGAUCAAUGGCAGGCCUUCCAUACAGUGGAUCAAUGGCAGGCCUUCCAUACGGUGGAUCAUUGGCAGGCCCUCCAUAUAGUGUCGAUUUUCUGCUAGGCAUAUCAACAGGAGGAUCAUCGAAAGGGGCAAAAGGUGGAGGAUUAUUGGCAGUACUUGUAACUCCCAAAGUCCUAUUUCUAAGCCUCGAAGCAAUCUCUGUGAGGGCUCCUCUUGCA